rnacentral:lncRNA from 1 species
GGGUCUAGCCAGACUGAGACGUCUGCUCGCUCAAGAGCCUAGUGAACCUCAAUGUGGCCUACAAUUUCUUCUCUGGGUUCAGCCAAGAAUGCACGAUGCCCUCCUUCCCGAACGUCAGGUUCAAUUUCGCAUUAAAUAGUGCUGUUAAAAAUUAGAGCUUUUAAAUAGAAUAAUAUCGUUUUCCCCCCUGAUCCUCUGACGCAUCAAUUUAUUCAGUUCAUACAACCAGUUCAUACAGUAGACGACCAGGAUAUCAGUGAAGAGCAGUGUUUUUCUCUCUUCUUCUAGUUGAAGCAUGAAGAUAGUUACCACAAACCCAGAGUAACUAUCCCAAAAGUUCUCUCUACUCUGCACCACUUCAAUCUUUCCCACAAACUAUCUCGAAAUGAUUUCUGCAAUCUCCCCUCUUAUCUCUUUGAUAUAAA